AGUUCACUUUUGGGAGCUGACUGCAGUUGCAGAAGAUGGCUGAAGAGACCGAGGCCUUUCACACUGAAGGUGGGAGCUGAAAGUUGAAGAGUUGAAGCCCUUUUGCCCUUCUCAGAAUGACUACACUUAAAGUGAGCUUCCUCACCACCAAGUACCAGAACAAAUGGUGGGCCUGGAAAGGCAAUUCUGCUCUGAGGAACGUGAAACAAGCAUAAACCGAAUGUGAUGGCAGAGCUGUCACACCUUGUGGCCAUCGAUUACAUUUCCACUGACCGUUCUAUCACUCUCCAGAAGGGUGAUCAUGCCUGUGCUGCUCCCAGAAGACCCAGAUCCACCGAAAGAAAUGCAAUCCUUCCCCACAGGCAGCCUUUCCUGAGGAGAAGAAGGAGCUUCUCUAAUUGUCACAUGAGUAGAAAAUGUUGAAGAGACCUGCCUCUUUCAGAGGAAGGGUAAACAGAAUUCUAACCACAUUUUAAAACACCUCUUCCCUCUGCUUAUUGAAGUAGGAUACUCAGCAACAAUUCAAAAGAUUGAGGUUUACAUGCACUGAUGAGGAACGACCUCCAAGCUUCAUUGUUCAGAAAGUUUCACGUCCACCAUACAGUCAGCUCUACAAGGGCAAGCCUGCCUGAUUCACCAGCCGUAUUCACAGAACUAUGCUGGAAAAGCAAUUGUGGGAUAACUAAGUUUGGAUCAAUAAAUGAAUGUGUAAAAGA
ensembl:lncRNA Novel transcript